AAAAUAGAUACCCCAGGUAGUCCACGCCGUAAACGAUGAGUGCUAAGUGUUAGGGGGUUUCCGCCCCUUAGUGCUGCAGCUAACGCAUUAAGCACUCCGCCUGGGGAGUACGGUCGCAAGACUGAAACUCAAAGGAAUUGACGGGGGCCCGCACAAGCGGCGGAGCAUGUGGUUUAAUUCGAAGCAACGCGAAGAACCUUACCAGGUCUUGACAUCCUCUGACAACCCUAGAGAUAGGGCUUUCCCUUCGGGGACAGAGUGACAGGUGGUGCAUGGCUGUCGUCAGCUCGUGUCGUGAGAUGUUGGGUUAAGUCCCACAACGAGCGCAACCCUUGAUCUUAGUUGCCAGCAUUUAGUUGGGCACUCUAAGGUGACUGCCGGUGACAAACCGGAGGAAGGUGGGGAUGACGUCAAAUCAUCAUGCCCCUUAUGACCUGGGCUACACACGUGCUACAAUGGACAGAACAAAGGGCUGCGAGACCGCAAGGUUUAGCCAAUCCCACAAAAUCUGUUCUCAGUUCGGAUCGCAGU
rnacentral:rRNA from 1 species